ACUACCACAUAGUUGGUGACCCACAAUUUUGAUUGAGAUGU
rnacentral:sRNA from 1 species